UUCCGUAGGGGUAACCUGCGGAGGGAUCAUUACUGAGUUACCGCUCUAUAACCCUUUGUGAACAUACCUAACCGUUGCUUCGGCGGGCAGGGGAAGCCUCUCGCGGGCCUCCCCUCCCGGCGCCGGCCCCACCACGGGGACGGGGCGCCCGCCGGAGGAAACCAAACUCUAUUUACACGACGUCUCUUCUGAGUGGCACAAGCAAAUAAUUAAAACUUUUAACAACGGAUCUCUUGGUUCUGGCAUCGAUGAAGAACGCAGCGAAAUGCGAUAAGUAAUGUGAAUUGCAGAAUUCAGUGAAUCAUCGAAUCUUUGAACGCACAUUGCGCUCGCCAGCAUUCUGGCGAGCAUGCCUGUUCGAGCGUCAUUUCAACCCUCAAGCACCGCUUGGUUUUGGGGCCCCACGGCACACGUGGGCCCUUAAAGGUAGUGGCGGACCCUCCCGGAGCCUCCUUUGCGUAGUAACUAACGUCUCGCACUGGGAUUCGGAGGGACUCUUGCCGUAAAACCCCCCAAUUUUUUACAGGUUGACCUCGGAUCAGGUAGGAAUACC
rnacentral:rRNA from 1 species